rnacentral:sRNA from 1 species
AUGGCUGUCGUCAGCUCGUGUCGUGAGAUGUUGGGUUAAGUCCCGCAACGAGCGCAACCCUCAUCUUUAGUUGCCAUCAGGUUAAGCUGGGCACUCUAAAGAAACUGCCGGUGAUAAGCUGGAGGAAGGCGGGGAUGACGUCAAGUCCUCAUGGCCCUUACGGUCUGGGCUACACACGUGCUACAAUGGUGGUGACAGUGGGCAGCAAUGUCGCAAGACAAAGCUAAUCCCCAAAAGCCAUCUCAGUUCAGAUUGGACUCUGCAACUCGAGUCCAUGAAGUUGGAAUCGCUAGUAAUCGUAGAUCAGCAUGCUACGGUGAAUACGUUCUCGGGCCUUGUACACACCGCCCGUCACGCCAUGGGAGUUGGUUUUACCUUAAGCCGGUGCGCUAACCGCAAGGAAGCAACCGUCCACGGUAGGGUCAGCGACUGGGGCGAAGUCGUAACAAGGUAACCGUAGGGGAACCUGCGGUUGGAUCACCUCCUUUCUAAGGAUAUUGAUGAUUGGUUCGCUAGUCAUCCGGGUUGUUGUCUAUGUAUCUCUUUAUCAUAUUAGCUAGUGCUAGGUGUUACCUGAUUUAAACUGGGCUAGUAGCUCAGUUGGUUAGAGCGCGCGCUUGAUAAGCGUGAGGUCGGAGGUUCAAAUCCUCCCUGGCCCACCAUUUAUUACGGGGGGAUUAGCUCAGCUGGGAGAGCGCCUGAUUUGCAUUCAGGAGGUCAGCGGUUCGAUCCCGCUAUCCUCCACCAUUAACUAGUUAAUUGUCUUGUUUGUUCUUUAAAAUGUAAAUAUGAAACUAAUAACUGAUCAAAUAAAUUAUUUUGAAUAAUUUAAAAAUUUUAAAUGAUUAAAAAUACGUACAUAAAAUUUUUCUCUGUACGUAAUUGCAAUCAAGCGCAAAAGGGCAUUUAGUGGAUGCCUUGGCAUCAAGAGACGAUGAAGGACGCGGCAGGCUGCGAUAAUCUAAGGGGAGUUGUCAACACACUUUGAUCCUUAGGUCUCCGAAUGGGGAAACCCGG